AUUGAACGCUGGCGGAAUGCUUUACACAUGCAAGUCGAACGGCAGCACGGACUUCGGUCUGGUGGCGAGUGGCGAACGGGUGAGUAAUGUAUCGGAACGUGCCCAGUCGUGGGGGAUAACGUAGUGAAAAUUACGCUAAUACCGCAUACGAUCUAUGGAUGAAAGCGGGGGAUCGCAAGACCUCGCGCGAUUGGAGCGGCCGAUAUCAGAUUAGGUAGUUGGUGGGGUAAAGGCCCACCAAGCCAACGAUCUGGAGCUGGUCUGAGAGGACGACCAGCCAAACGGGAACUGAGACACGGUCCAGACUCCUACGGGAGGCAGCAGUAGGGAAUUUUGGACAAUGGGCGAAAGCCUGAUCCAGCCAUUCCGCGUGCAGGAUGAAGGCCCUCGGGUUGUAAACUGCUUUUGUACAGAACGAAAAGGUUUCUACUAAUACUAGGAGCUCAUGACGGUACUGUAAGAAUAAGCACCGGCUAACUACGUGCCAGCAGCCGCGGUAA
rnacentral:rRNA from 1 species